GUCGAACGCGUCUCCGUUAAUGAUUUUAGGUGCUUGCACUUGAAAGAUUUAACAUUGAGACGAGUGGCGAACUGGUGAGUAACACGUGGGUAACCUGCCCUUGAAGUAGGGGAUAACACUUGGAAACAGGUGCUAAUACCGUAUAACAACCAAAACCACCUGGUUUUGGUUUAAAAGACGGCUUCGGCUGUCACUUUAGGAUGGACCCGCGGCGUAUUAGCUUGUUGGUAAGGUAACGGCCUACCAAGGCGAUGAUACGUAGCCGACCUGAGAGGGUAAUCGGCCACAUUGGGACUGAGACACGGCCCAAACUCCUACGGGAGGCAGCAGUAGGGAAUCUUCCACAAUGGACGAAAGUCUGAUGGAGCAACGCCGCGUGAGUGAUGAAGGGUUUCGGCUCGUAAAACUCUGUUGUUGGAGAAGAACAGGUGUCAGAGUAACUGUUGACAUCUUGACGGUAUCCAACCAGAAAGCCACGGCUAACUACGUGCCAGCAGCCGCGGUAAUACGUAGGUGGCAAGCGUUGUCCGGAUUUAUUGGGCGUAAAGCGAGCGCAGGCGGUUUUUUAGGUCUGAUGUGAAAGCCUUCGGCUUAACCGGAGAAGUGCAUCGGAAACCGGGAGACUUGAGUGCAGAAGAGGACAGUGGAACUCCAUGUGUAGCGGUGAAAUGCGUAGAUAUAUGGAAGAACACCAGUGGCGAAGGCGGCUGUCUGGUCUGUAACUGACGCUGAGGCUCGAAAGCAUGGGUAGCGAACAGGAUUAGAUACCCUGGUAGUCCAUGCCGUAAACGAUGAGUGCUAAGUGUUGGAGGGUUUCCGCCCUUCAGUGCUGCAGCUAACGCA
rnacentral:rRNA from 1 species